UACAGAGGUGGCAAGCGUUGUUCGGAAUUACUGGGCGUAAAGGGCGCGUAGGUGGCCUUCUUAGUCAGACGUGAAAUCCCCGGGCUUAACUCGGAAAGGUCAACUGAUACUGUGCGACUAGAGUGCAGAAGGGGCAACUGGAAUUCUCGGUGUAGCGGUGAAAUGCGUAGAUAUCGAGAGGAACACCUGCGGCGAAGGCGGGUUGCUGGGCCGACACUGACGCUGAUGCGCGAAAGCCAGGGGAGCGAACGGG
rnacentral:rRNA from 1 species